CCUACGGGAGGCAGCAGUGAGGAAUAUUGGUCAAUGGACGCAAGUCUGAACCAGCCAAGUAGCGUGCAGGAUGACGGCCCUCCGGGUUGUAAACUGCUUUUAGUUGGGAAUAAAAGGGGGCUCGUGAGCCCCGUAUUGUAUGUACCAUCAGAAAAAGGACCGGCUAAUUCCGUGCCCGCAGCCGCGGUAAUACGGAAGGUCCGGGCGUUAUCCGGAGUUAUUGGGUUUAAAGGGAGCGUAGGCCGGCUUUUAAGUCAGCUGUGAAAGUCCGCGGCUCAACCGUGGAAUUGCAGUUGAAACUGGAGGCCGUGAGUGCACACAGGGAUGCCGGAAUUCAUGGUGUAGCGGUGAAAUGCUUAGAUAUCAUGAAGAACUCCGAGCGCGAAGGCAAGUGUCCGGGGUGCAACUGACGCUGAGGCUCGAAAGUGCGGGUAUCAAACAGGAUUAGAUACCCUUGUAGUC
rnacentral:rRNA from 1 species